rnacentral:rRNA from 1 species
GUCGGUAAAACUCGUGCCAGCCACCGCGGUUAAACGGGAGACCCAAGUUGAUAGACAGCGGCGUAAAGCGUGGUUAAGACAUUAAUUUAAUAGGGUCGAAUAGCCUCUAAGCAGUCAAAUACUAUCGAGACCACAAAAUACACCUACGAAAGUAACCCUAAUACUUCUGACCCCACGAAAGCCAUAACACAAACUGGGAUUAGAUACCCCACUAUG